rfam:Schistosoma rodhaini strain Burundi genome assembly, scaffold: SROB_scaffold0001351
AUCCAGCUGAUAAGUCCUAAAUAAGACGAAACGUGCGUCCUGGAU